rnacentral:misc_RNA from 1 species
AAUCCACUUCCAGAAACUGUGUCACUUGUUGAAGACAUCGUGGUGGAUUAUGUCACUGAUAUGGUGCACAAAGCUCAGGAUAUUGCAACCAAAAGGGGGAAGCUUUUGACCGAGGACUUUCUGUUCUUAAUUAGAAAGGACUUGCCGAAACUUAACCGGUGUACAGAACUGUUGUCCAUGAAUGAGGAGCUGAAACAAGCUCGGAAGGCUUUCGAGGUCGAUGAAGAGAAAUUGGCUUCACAUCAGUGAAGGGGAAGUGUGAUCUUAGUUCAGAAUGACAAAUUGAGUGGCACCGUAGGACCAGUAUACAGUUUAACCUACUCUGGAGUAAAUAGCCUGCUUGUUCUCAUUUUUCGCUAGCACAAUCGAUGUCUGAGUCACCUUGUAGCUGCGUUUACUCUUGCACAAUAGAUCUUCGAUGCUGAAAUCAGUUUCUUAAGUGUUCUAUUGGUGCAUUGAACGCCACCUGUGUGUAGUUUGGCAGUUCUAAA